CCCUUAGAUGUCCUGGGCCGCACGCGCGCUACACUGAUGCAUGCAACGAGUUUAUAACCUUGGCCUGAAAGGUCUGGGUAAUCUUUUGAACGUGCAUCGUGAUAGGGAUAGAUUAUUGCAAUUGUUAAUCUUGAACGAGGAAUUCCUAGUAAACGCGAGUCAUCAACUCGCAUUGAUUACGUCCCUGCCCUUUGUACACACCGCCCGUCGCACCUACCGAUUGAAUGGUUCGGUGAAGAUCUCGGACUUCGAUAUUUAUUCUUUAUUGAGUUUAUAUUGUGGGAAGUUAUCUAAACCUCAUCAUUUAGAGGAAGGUGAAGUCGUAACA
rnacentral:rRNA from 1 species